rnacentral:rRNA from 1 species
UACGGAAGGCAGCAGUGGGGAAUAUUGCACAAUGGGCGCAAGCCUGAUGCAGCCAUGCCGCGUGUAUGAAGAAGGCCUUCGGGUUGUAAAGUACUUUCAGUCGUGAGGAAGGUGUUAAGGUUAAUAACCUUAGCAAUUGACGUUAGCGACAGAAGAAGCACCGACUAACUCCGUGCCAGCAGCCGCGGUAAUACGGAGGGUGCGAGCGUUAAUCGGAAUUACUGGGCGUAAAGGGCACGCAGGCGGUUAAUUAAGUUGGAUGUGAAAUCCCCGGGCUUAACCUGGGAAUGGCAUUCAAGACUGGUUAGCUAGAGUCUUGUAGAGGGGGUAGAAUUCCAUGUGUAGCGGUGAAAUGCGUAGAGAUGUGGAGGAAUACCGGUGGCGAAGGCGGCCCCUGGACAAAGACUGACGCUCAUGUGCGAAAGCGUGGGGAGCAAACAGGGAUUAGAUACC